rnacentral:lncRNA from 1 species
AAUAUGUUAAAUUUUAUUAUCCGAUUUAUUACUCGUAUUAUUAAUAAAAUUAAUUUUAUAAUUUUAUAGAGUUUAGAGAUUUAAAAUUUUAAAUUUGAAGUUACAAAAUUAGAAAUAAAUAUUAGAAGUUAAAAUUUAAAUUUAGAAUUUAAAAUAUGAAAUAUAAAAUUAAAAACUUUAAAAAUUAAAAAUAUCAAAAUUUUAAAUUUUGA